AUGGUACACAGGGUAAAGGCCUGUAGAUUACGGUGCUGGAGACACCACCUGUACGUAUAACACACUCUCUGCCACACUCACGUAAAUUACACAGACCUUCAAGAUGACCUGUUGUUCCACCAUAUUGAACAAUGCCACAAGGACUCUUCUAGUCAUUGCUGAAAGGUCCCCAGGAUCAGGUUGAACAAGAAUGAUUCAUGCAGGGAAAAGAGAACAAAAUCACAGGAUGACUUACAUUGUAUAUUAUAUAUAAGAGGAAAUCAUAGACUUUACCAGCACUGGUCUAGAAAUUUUCCUCCCAACUGCUUGCCCACUUCAGGCCCACAGGGGAAGCCUGCAUUUCUUAGGAUCCCACCACCCCAGGUACCUUACUCUGCUCUGCUUCAGCUCUGCCCAAGCAAACACUUCCCACUGUUCAUUUAUCUGCUUCCAAAAAAGGCAGCAGGAAGCAGGUAUCCCAGCCCCCCACCCAUCUCCAAUCUCAGCUGCUGCCUUGGCCCAGUCUCUUUGCCAAUGAAACUCAAAGGGAGACAGGGCCACACAGGCAGGAAGAAGGGGGCUGCUCACAGAAACUUCUGGGCAGUUGUAAAAGCAUACAGGUGGGGAGGAAGCCAGAAAAGGAGGAAAAGCAGAAGAAAGGAACAGACCGAAAUAGUCCACAGAGCAAAAGGCCCCACGUUUACAGAACUCUUUACAAUUUGCUAUGUGCUUUCUUAUAUUUGUUCCCUUUAGUCUUCAGGGAGACCCUUAAGGUAGGCAUUUUUUAGAACAUUUUCAGGAAAGGAAACUGAGCCUGACUCAUUUGUCUGAAAUCACACAGCCUGCAAGUCAUGAAACCAGGGGCUCCAAAUCAUUCCCUCACUCCCACUACACCCAUGCCAAAGUAGGCAUGAGUCCAUGGGGCCAUGCUGAGGAGCCAGCUAUGAAUAUUCAGCUGUGAAACACAUAGGGAAGACAUACACACGAAGGCUCAGUCUUCCUCAUUGAGCAUGGAUGUCAUUUAGGCCGUGCCCUGUGGACACUGGGCAUCUUUUCUUCAUUUGUAGCCCCUCAUAUUUGAGUUUCAGACAAUGCAUUUCAAUAAACGGACCAAGGAUAUAAGUAGCAUCUGGGAUCAGCCCUAGAGUAGGGAAUCUGGCCAGGGCAGAAUGGAAAAUGUUUUCCAACAUAGUUUAUUUAAGUAUUUCCAAGUUAAGUUGACCAACCUUGAAAUGUCUCGGGAAGACAACCAAAAAACCAAAUGGCCUGAAAGAAAAAAGCAACUAAGGUACAUGAGCUAUUUAUUUCCCUUUAUUUGCAUUUCUGGUCUAUAUCCAAAUAGGAAAAGAUUUUUAUACAGACUUGCCUUGCCUUGUCUCCAUCACAGAAGUGCCGUAUGAAUAUAAAAUAAGAUUAACCAAUGCAGCAUUUACUCUGUGUGAUGCACUAAUCUAAAUGUUUUACUUUUAAUCCUAUAACAACUCUACAAGUAAGAAUCCUACAAUUAUUUCCAUUUGUGAGAAAAAGAAAGAGGAAGUGGAGGAGGAGGCGGAGAGCAUUUAUUGAGCACCUACAAUGGACUGUCCACAGAGGGAAGCAUCUGAUACACUCUGAGUUACCAACUGAAUCCUCCCAUAAUGCCUUUGGGCACUGCUAUCUACAUUGUACAUUUCCUGGUGAAGAACCUCAGGAAGCUCCACUAUGAUCUGCUCUUCUAAUAGAAGAAUUGUGGUUGGCCCUGCAUUCCGUAAAGAUCCUAUGGUCUAUGAGGGUAGCCUUUCUUCUUUCUACAAGAAAAGGAGCAUGAACAGAAAGAGCGAGGCCAGUCCUACAGACGCACUGGACAUCUGGCAGGAGCCCCUCCCCAGGGUGAAGCUGAUGGACCCACUCUGCCUCUCAGGAACAGUUCAGACCUGGAAAACACCUCCCAGCUCUGCUCCGCAUCCUCUGGCAAAUUCCUCUGGCCGCCAUCUUGAUCUCCUUUAACCAAAGCAACCCAGCCACUCUGUGGCCCAAGCCAAUGGCAAAGCAAAUAAAGGGGAGAGGAAAAAGAACUUGCUUUUACUGAGCACGAUUUACAGUUGGCCCUGCGUAUCUGCACAGGUUCUAACAACCGCAGACUGAAAGUAUUUGGAAAUAAAUUUCCAGAAGGUUUCAAAGAGCAAAAAAAUCAGCACACAAAUAUCGCAGUCCUUCAUUGGCUCUUCCACUUCAGUGUCAAGAACACCAGGUUCAAAGUCUGAAGGAGCAGAACAAAGGUCACCGCUGAGGACAAAGGAC